ACGGAUCGAUCCGUUGACACUUUAUUACCACACAAACACACGCACAUGCAAUACAUACAUCGACAGACAGGGCUUACAAUACACAGUAAAUUAAUGAGAUGCUGGCUUCAGGGCUUGCGAUGCUAGGCUUCCUGACGGACGGAGCCGUCACGCAUGCAGGCGGAGUCUCCAAGGUCGCCGCCGGCCUAGCAGCCCGUGCCGGAAUAGGUGCAGCGGCACCUGGCCGCGCAUCGCGGCGGGGGCCUGCACACAGUGAUGCAGACCUUCCCUUUCGGGCAGGGCACACAGCCGCAGCGCUCGAUGCACGUUGCGAGCGCGUCCGCUGGCUGCCCCGACGCGGCCGGCACCAGCGCGGCCGCGCAGAGGGCGGCCAGGAGCAUGACGGCGGCGAACUUGAGAGCGGGAGCAGCCAUGUGUGAUGAAACUAGAGUAGAGCAAGAUGGUAUGCUUUGGGAUGAUCAGAUAGAAGGCGAAGACGCUAUUUAUAGGUUAGUCAUAGACUAGUAGUUGAUGAAGCACCACGUGGUUUUGACUUUGGCACCAUGUGAGAGGAUACCUCUCAUGAUAUAUAGUUGACAUGGAGAGGAUUGUAUUAGCUCGUGCUAUAGCCCAUCCUUUUUGACGAUUUCUUCUCUUUCGUUGAAUCCCGGCCGCCAUACUGCAUGCCUUCAUACAUGUGUGUUGUAUUGACAGAAUCUAUUGAAUAGGUUGACACAGUUUCAGGUUGGCAAUAGUGGCCCAAUCUGUUUAGCGUACGAAAAUAGUUAAGCAGACGAUAACAUCAUUUCUCAUGACAUGGAUCAUUAAUUAGUUUUCUUGCCUUGUAAAUCUUAGCAAUUAGGUGGUUAUUCCUUCCAUUUCAUUUAAAAUUGUGUUCAAACUUUAUAAUGUCUGACUUAAGACAACCCUAAUACACGGGAGUAUCAGAUAAAAUCAUUUUGUAUUAAAUAAGAAGUGUGUAUGUAUACAUCGAACUUAAAAGUAAAAAAAAAUUGUCAUACAUGUAAUUAAUAAAAUGUGAAUUGUAGAAAAGUCGUAUUAACAAUACUGUUUGGACUAGGACAAAUACGAGCGGAUAUAUCCUUGAAUUGUCAAUAUGCAUCCCAUGAUUGUGGAAAGUUCAAAACGGACAGUGAAAUGUUUGAAUGGAAUACUCAAACUGUCCAAUACACGUAUUUCACAUGCAUAGCAAUAUAGCAUGAAAAAAGAAAAAACAUGUUGUUAUUCUGGGAAACAUGGGGAUGUUUAAUACAAACAUGCCUAUAUAUUGAAAAAUAAUAAAAUAAAAUGAAGAAUGGAUGGACGCUAACGCAUGUGCAACAUGUAGGGGAGACCGUGGAGGUGCAUACAUGAGGACGACACGACCAUGCAUGUGGCAUUGGUUAUACUUAUGCACUGUUGUGUAGCAUGGCGAAUAUCGCACAGAGUUCGUCAUAGUAUGAUGUGUGCCGAACUUCACAGACUCACAGUAGUGCACACAUUUUUACCACACGACCAUGUCCAUUGCCAGGAGUUAUUGCACAUAACUUGUUUGGUAAAUCCAUGUUCAAUUGACAUCUAUGUGUAGUAAAAUUAAUUAUUCCCUCAUCCUACCUCCACUGCAAUCUUGUUCCCCCUUCUCCAUCGUGGCCGCAUCCAAAUCCUCCUCCCCUUCCACCUCUGAUGUUCUCCCAAUGAUGAAUGGCCUCCUACAGUCAAACGGCUCCACACGCGCGGAUGUGGCCACUGCCGUGGCUGAACGGGACGUAGAUGACAAGGUAGCAUGUGCAUAUGGUGUUGACGUUAUGCCACAUGCAAGAAUGAGGUCGUGCCUGUGGCGGCACACAUGGAAGAGGUCACUCCAUUUGUGAUGGCACACACAGACGAGGUCCUUCAUGACUGGCAUUAUUUGAACACAAAGGCCACUGACCUUGAGAAAACACCCAAAAUGUUGAUCGUCGACUUCUAGUAUUUCAGCAAGUGCUCCUCGAUGAGGAGGAUGAGGAGAUUUGUACCAACAGUUUAUGGUCCAUAUUUUAUGUAAUUAUGCAACAAGAUAUCCAAUAUGAUUUUCAGGUACAUAUGUAAUGGAUGUUUAGUUUGAUCAAGUAAAGAGACGUGCAGUGAUAUUUUAACUAUUUGUUCUUCUGCAAACGAAGCAAGUUAUAUCGAACAUGUUCUACACGACAAAAUCAUGUGAGAUGAUUCUCGAUAUUUCACAUAGUUCAUUUUUUUCAGUUGUGUGCCAGUAAAGUACCCAAUUUUCACCACACAAUCGUAUCCACUUAGUUAACUUUGACUUUUGACUAAGUUAAACAAAACACUAUUCAGAAUACAAAAUUAAUCCUUAGAUCCUUAAAAAAUAUAGUUUGUAUUGUAUUUAUUUUGUAAUAUAUAGGUUGAUAGUUUGAACGUACUUGCUCAAACAUUACGAGAUUUGACCGGUAAAACUAAUGUACACUGUCCAAUGAACAUAGCAUUCGUAUUUAUUUUUGGGGAUCAAACUGCUCACAAUUAUUUAAGCAACAAUAGGCCAGUAGUACGACGGCAGCGAACUUGAGAGCGGGAGCAGCCAUGAGAUGAAAGGAGAGGAGAUGGGUAUGCUUUGGGAUGAUUAGCCGGUAGACGGAGACGCUAUUUAUAAUUUAUAAGCUAGUAAUAGUAGAUGAUUAAGCAUCAUGUCGUUGGACUUCUGGCCUUCUGCACCAUCAGUGUGAGCUCAUUUCACGUUACAAGCCAUCAGAUUCGAGAGCCCUCUGAUCGAGACUUCACAACACCAUGGAAAUGAGCUCACACUGAUGCACAAACACACCACACCACCAACGCAUGCCGAUGCACCAAUCCACCAAUACAGACACCUAGUCCCGCUCUCACGGAAGGCCAACCGCAAUGCCAAGACACCAAGCCAACACCCACACCACCACAACCGCUACGACCCAAAACCGCCGAUGAGCCCCUCCUAAGGAAGCUCACCUGCCAAAUUGACGAAAAAGGGUUUUCCCCAUUUUAUAUUAUAAAGCAACAACCAACCGAUAUAACCAGUUCGCUGGGGCCGUAGGACAAACAUGUCCAAAAGGAAAAAAGAAAGAAACAAAUGCCGACACCGGCAGCUCAACUAAGCGAGGAUGAUCGACAACCACUGCACCCUCCGGAGAAGUACCGCCGCAAGCCUUGCACUACAAAACCUCACGUACCAAGCAACACCUUUAGGAAGGAAUGCGACUUCGACGUCGCUGCUGCUGGACAUGUCCUAGGGUUUGGCCCGGUAUGCGGAUGAAAGUGGGGAAGGGGUAUCACCGACUCCCCUUAGAAAGGUCCGACGGUGCCCAUGGGCAUAGCCGUGCCGGUGGCGGAGGAGCCGCCACGGAUUUCUCCCUCCCCAAAAUCAUCACCGUCAGCCUAGACAAUCGAAAAUGCACUGCCCAACAUACCGUCCACCAGCAUGUGCCACCACCGUCACCACACAAAUGUCAUCGUCUCACUGAGGCCACCAACACGAGACCUCGAGGGAGGACGAGGAAAUAUCGGGCUCAGGGGAAACCGUAACGCAGCCGACAAGAGGGGACAACCUCCACAGUCGCACGGAGGCAACCAGACGUAGCGACAGGGACUUGCCAAGCCACCACAUGCUCGAUCGGAUCCUAAAAGGUACGGACAGUCCAAGCACCCACGUUGCAGCACACAGUCCGCCCAAGCCAUCACCACCGUAGCCACAACUGCCUCGCCGCACGACCAGGGAGCCGCGCCGCCGCGCCCUGAACCGUCGGCAUGCCCGUGCCCACAUGGGGCCCUAAAGGGCCUAGAUCUGGGUCGAGCGUGCGCCGUCGGCCAGCCACAUACCGCGCCACCCCGCAGCCAAUGGCUACUCCGCCAUGUCAAGGGAAAUCGAGGCCCGCGGAACCCCGCCGCCGAGCCAUACCGCCGUCAGCCAAGCAGCAUCGUCGCUGGACAGGAAGGAUCCCCGACUCCACCUCCCAACGCGCGGGGAACACGCCGGUGGCCUCUUUCGGCGACGAUGAAGGGGGGUGGAGGAGGAGGGGGCUCAAGAAGGGGUGGAGGGGUGGAGGCGCUCCGCCGCCUCGGGAGGCGACGGGAGCGAAGGAGCGAAGGAGAGGUAUAAUUUUCUAUUACUGAUAAGGACAACAUCCAAAUAUUCCUAAAUCAAUGGCAGUUGGAAGAGGGUGUGAUGCAAGGGGUGAGGAGGUACACCGAGAGCGUGGGGUGGGACACCCUCGUUGUGGUCGCGAGUAUGAGCAGCAUGUCACGUCAUGGCGUGCAAACAACAUGGAGGCGAGUGAAAUGUCGGCGAGCAGGUCUGGCAAGAGGUUGCCCCAGCGCGAUGGCGUAGAGCUUGUGGCGUGCAAACAAGAUGGACCCUCAAUGAGGCUCUAUCAAAUUACUUUUGGGGACCAUCCCUAAAAAAAAACUUUUGAGGACCAUCUAUCCUAGCCCUAGCUAGUUCAUGGAUAUCAUCAAGUGCCGAGUAACCAUGGUUAUAUACCUAAAUGGAAGGAAAAAUAAAGAAGAAGAAAGAAGAUAAUGAAAAGUGGUUUGGGACGAACACCAUAAGAAAGAUUUUGAAAAUAAGUAUGAGAUCCUUUUUUGCAAAUAUUCGACCAAUACAUCUUCCAACCUGAUCCCAUCCCUCACACUUUCAUAUCCAACAACUCAAAUAUUACAUGUCUGGCGCAGCGGAUAUGUCUCGAGACGAGACACCAACCAAGCAGUACAAGUCGUUAAAUGGUUAAAGCAACGACGGUGUACAAGUCGUGCAAGUAAAGAUAUGUUGAAUUGACCACAUAUUAACGUUCAAAACGGCUGCAAAAAUAAUUAAGGCAACGAUAGUACCAGUCAUACAAGCGAGAGUUUAAGUUAGCGGCAUUUUGACUUUGAAGAGGAUCACCACGAACGUGCCUACCAUAUGCCAGAAACGGUCUACGUACUAACAUAAACUUGAACAAGGCUCAACUAACAGACUCAAUCCUUGGUCAACUGUUUUGCCAAUUGAUUAUUGAUAGGGAAAUUAUUCCCUUCAACCGGACGAUCUUAUGCCAGCGUCCAUCGCCUUCAUAUUCGUUGGAUGGACUCCAUCACACGGUCAGAAGCCAACCCUCGUAUCCAUGUUUUGUAAGUGGUCCAUUGUUUGUCAAAGAGGUUCCUCAACUAGACUCUUGUUGCAAAUCGACCAAGGGUUAGAUCUCGCGACAUGAUCCAGGUUGCAAAAGAAAUCCCGCAACACAAAUCAUGUUGCAAUUUUUUUUUACAACAUGACCCGUGUUGCAAAAACGAAUCCGACAACACUACCUAUAUUAUAAAAAAAUGCAACAUAACCUCUGUUGCAAACAUCUUCGCAACAAGACAUGUGUCGCAAAAUAUAAUCAUCAGUCUGACGGCUCGCUAGACGGUAGAUCUUCUAAAAAGAUCUACUAGAGGACGCAUAGCAGCCCCCUUAAUGAUAUGCUUGUGAUUGGAUCAUCACUCGUAUCGCCGUGGGACCACCAUGGCUGGUCCUUAUUUUCCUAAUCGGAUGGUUUCAUCGGGCAGCAAGCUACUCUACCUUACAAUUCUGAUUGUUUAGUCUAUAUCCGAAGAUUUGUGAUCCUCGUCCUGCGCUCAGCAUUUCCAUCUGAUUUACUCUGAUGGUUCAGACAACAUCUGAUCCAGAAGUCCUGCGCUCAGCAUUUCCAUCUGUUUUCAAUGUACUUGCUCUAAAGUAUGACUACGGUAAAACUAAUAUACACUGUGAAACGAAUAUAACAUUUCUAAUUAUCUUUUGCCCACGACAGACAAAGACAGAGCUAGCUUCUCCCAGUUAAGUUAAUAUACACUGUCAUCAUCAAAUGCCUUGAAUAUUUCAACGAGAAACUGACCCACAACCCCAAACGAAUGGAUCCGUUAACACUUUAUUACCACACAAACACACGCACACACAUGCAGUACAUGCCUGAACAGACUCACACAAAGGGCUUACAACACACAACAGUACGUGCUAGCUGCUGCUGGCUUCAUGACGGACGGAGCCGUGGCGCGCACAGGCGGAGUCGCCAAGGUCGUAGCCGGCCUAGGUUUAGACGCACCUGGCCGCGCAGUCCGGCGGGGGCCUGCACACAGCGGGGCAGAACCUCCCUUUCGGGCAGGGCACACAACCGCAGCGCCCGAUGCACGCCGCUAGCCCGCCAUCAGUAGGCUGCCCCGACGCCGCUGGGGCCAGUGCAGCCGCGCAGAGGAAGACCAGGAGCACAACGGCGGCGAACUUGAGAGCUGGAGCAGCCAUGGGAGGAGAAGAGGAGAUGGUAUGGUUUGGGAUGAUCAGACGGGAAACAACAAGGACGCUAUUAAUAGGCAAUAAUGGUAUGGCUAGUAUUAGUUGAUUAUAAGCACCACGUGGUUUUGACUUUCGCACCAUGUAGUACUGACUUAUGUGACAUUCUGUGAUCUAGAAACGAUACCAUCAUGAUAUGUAGUAGUUGACGUAGAGACGAUCGUAUUAGCUCGUGUUACAGCCCAUCUUUUAUGACUUUCUCUUCUUUCUCGGUUGAAUCCAGGCAGUAUGCGUUCGUACAUGUACAUUGUACCGGCUGAGUCUACUGCAUGUGUUCAUACCCAUUCAGUGUACCGGCUGAGUCUACUGCAUGUGUUCAUACCCAUCCAGCUAGGCAAUAGUCACUACUAGAAUCUGAGAUUUUGCCCAGUUUCAAAUGUUUUCCAAGUGCAAUUUAUGGAGAACCCGGUAAACAAUUCUUUGCCGAGUUUACUUUUUUUGCUGAGUUUAUUUUAUUUUUGAAUUGGGCAAAGAAAUCUUUGUUGAGUUUUUUUUGCACUGCACAAAGAAAUAUUUGCCAAGUUUUUUUCCAUCUUGCACUCAGCAAAGAAAGAAAUCUUUACCGAGUCUCUUCUUUUUUGCACUCGGCAAACAUUUGUUUUUAUUUUUAAAUUUUCUUGUAUUUAUUUUAAAAAAUCUCUUUGUUCUUAUUUCUUUUCUUUUAUACAUUAUAUAUGUUUUCUAUUUUCCUUUUAGGUGUUGUUCUUUUGUACGUUAUUUAUUUUAUUUUUUGAUUUUUCCUAUUUCAUACCCAUCUCUCUAUUUUCUUUUAUACACAUUUAGUGAUUUUUUUUAGGAAUUACAAAUUUUAGUGAAUAUACUAAAAAUUUGCAGUGUACAUGUGCAUACAAAAGUUGGCAAAGUUGGAUUGAAAAAUAAUAAUUGUGUUCUUGACUACUCCCUCUGUACCUAAAUAUUUAUUGUUGGGAAACACUAAUACAAGUACCCAGCUACAUGUAUUGUGAUACAGAGGGAGUAUAUGUUAGGCAGUCUCCACGGGCGAGGCAUGAAGGCAAUGUGACCAUUGCUUUAUACGCUGGCCUUGAUUUUUUUUUCUAUAAACUCAAGAUACAUCAUUACUUCGUCCAUAUAAAAAAGAAUGAAUUUUCGGUUGUCUAUUUACUAUAUUUGAGUCAUAAGUGCAUUUCUAGACAUUUCACGAAUAUAAUACAAAUUUGAACAAGAAGUGCAUGAAUAAUUGAGCAAAGUUGGGUUGAAAAAUCAUAUUUGUGUUCUUUAGUCUAUGGUCACGCCUUAUACAAGAAAAAGAAAGGAAUUCCAAACAUGAGGGUGCCAAGACUUGACCCCAAACAUGUAAUCUCUCAUUUUAAAAAUUCCAAUAAAUGCAAACUCCGAAAUGUAUAAAAAUUUGCAUGAUGCCCUCAUAUGACACCUACAUGUUGUGGUAAAAAUUUAAGAUGGUUGGGACAAUGUAUUUAUGUACUCCUUCCGUUUCAAAAUAAGUGUCACAAAUUUAGUACUAAGUUAGUACAAAUAUAAUUCUAAGGCAUCGACACUUAUUUUGAAAUGGGGGGAGUACAUCGCUUAGAACUAGACCAUCUCCAAGGAAGAAACUUGUUUUAGAAGGAACCGGUGAGGUAUGAAGGCAAGCGAACGUUGCUCCAUCCAUUGGUCUUGAAUUUUUUUUUUCUGCACUCAAUAUACACCAUUACUUGACCCUUUCCAAAAGUUGACUUUUCCGAGUCCGUUUGCUAUAUUUGAUCCAUUAAAUGCAUUUCAAGGCUUUAACAAUAUAAUUCAUAUUUUAACAAAAAAUGCAUGAAAAAAUUAGCAAAUUUGGGUUGCAAAAUCAUAUUUGUGUUCUUGAUUCUAUGUCUAGGCCAUAUGUAAUAAAAAUAAAGGAACACCAAACAUGAGGGUGCCAAGACUCAGCCCGAACUUGUAGUUUUUUGGUUUAUAAAUGCCAAAAAGUGCAAACGAACUCCGAAAAACAAGAAAAUUGACAUGGUGCCCUCAUAUGACACGUAAAUGAUGUGGUAAAAAUUGAGAAUGUUUCAUAAAAAUUGUGAUGUACAUCGAUUGAAAACUAGACUGUCUCCAAGGAAGAAACAUGCUUUCAGAAGGGAAUGGGUGAGGUUUGAAGGCGAAGUGACCUUUGCUUCAUAUGUUGGCCUUGAAAACUUAUGUGCACUCAAGAUAGGCCAUUAUUUGAUUCAUGUAAUUUUUCUGAAUUUUGAUGAGUCUAUUUGUUGUAUUAGAGCCAUUAAAUGCAUUUCUGGACCUGUACCGAAUAUAAUUAAAAUUUAAACUGUAAGUGCAUGAAAAAGUUGAAAAGGUUGGGUUAAAAAAUCAUAAUUGUGUUCCUGAUUCCAUGUUUAAGUUUUGUACAAGCUAAAGAGAGGACUUCUAAACAUGAGGAUGCCAACACUUCCCCAAAUGCAAACGAACUCCGAAAAACAUGAAAGUUGGCGUGAUGCUUUUUGGGCCCACGGAAGACGACGAUUGAGCUAGUUGUUCCCUGUUAAUUAACCAGCAUGUACAGGCUACUCGGCUUGAACAUUUCGAUGAGUAACUGACCAACAUCCCCAACAGAUGGACCCGUUGAUACUUUAUUACCACACAAACACACGCACAGGCAAUACAUUACAUGGAUACACAAGGCUUACAAUAGACAGUAGAACGUACAAAGGUACGGUGCCAUGGCAUGCGCAGGCGGAGUCGCCAGGGUCGCCGCAGGCCUAGCAGCCCGUGCCGGAAUAGGUGCAGCGGCACCUGGCGGCGCAGGGUGGUGGGGGCGUGCACACAGUGAUGCAGACCUUCCCAGUCGGGCAGGGCACACAGCCGCAGCGGUCGAUGCACGCUGUGAGCGCGUCCGUCGGCUGCCCCGACACGGCCGGGGCAAGCGUGGCCGCGCAGAGUGCGGCCAGGAGCAUGACGGCGGCGAACUUGAGAGCGGGAGCAGCCAUGUGAUGAAAGUAGAGGAGAGCAAGAUGGUCUGCUUUGGGUUUAUCAGACGGGAGACGGAGGCGCUAUUUAUAGGCUAGUAGUGGUUGAUUAUCAGCCAUGUGAUUUUGACUUUCGCACCAUGCAUGUAGUACUGACUUAUGUGACAUGAUGUGGUCUAGAGAGGAUUGUAUUAGCUCGUGCUACAGCCCAUCUUUUUCGACGCUUUCUUCUUUUUGUUGAAUCCAGGCCAUACUACAUGCGUUCAUACAUGUGUGUUGUAUUGGCCGAAUCUAUUGAAUGGGUUUACACAUGUUCAGACUGGCAAUAGUGGCCCAAUCUGUUUAGGGCACGAAAAUAGUUAAGCAGACGAUAACAUCAUUUCUCAUAUCAUGGAUCAUUAAUUAAAUAGUUUUCUUGCCUUGCAAAUCUUACCAAUUAGGUGGUUAUACCUUCCAUUUCAUUUAAAUUCGCAUAUUAUCACUACAAGAAAAAUGCUCAAUUAUGACCCAAAAAGAAAAUGACGGUGGUUUAAUUGGUCAUUGAUCCAUGACCAAAAUUCUGAAAUUAGUCAUGGCAAGUCUGAGAGGGUCCAAAGCCCAUAACGUUAUGACCUUUUGCUUCUAUUAGGUCAUGAUACUAUUGCACAAAUUGAUCAUUAAGUGCUACCGAUUGAAAAAAGAAGAAGAAAAAAGUGAAAGAGGUGUGUUGUAUGAGGGGAUGGUUUUGGAGGGUUGGAUGUAGGAGGAGUGGAUGGUCAUGAUCUGUUUCUGGAGAGGGAUCCGUGUCCUCACAUGUGAUAGGCUCUCUUUAUUCAGAUCGAGAUGUAGAUCACGUCUCUCUCUCACACACACACCAGAUCCAGAGCACCCCGGCCCCUGCCUCUUCCCGCUUCAUCCCCGUCGCCGGCGCCCCCAGCCCCAAGCCUCGAUUAGGAUCCUUCGACGCAUGCGGACGAUCAUACCGGUCAAAUACACAAAUACCGAACAUCUCCGCAUUAUUGCAUCAUCACAUGAUUCUCUCAAAAGAGAGAGAGAGAGAGGAUCAGCAUGACCCACUCACCCAUCAAUCAAGAUCAAGAAUCAAGAAAAGAAAAAGAUGGGUGGUAAUUCUUGAAGGAGAAGAAAGAAGGAUUCCAUCCAUGAGAAAAAGGCUGAGCAAACCCCUAGGCCUAGGCGGCUCGGCCCAGCGCAGCGCAGGGCUAACUAAAGCCUAAAGAGGAGGUGGGGUGGGCCGGGGUGUCAUAGAGAGGAAGCCCUAAUCGGUGGCAUCAUCGCCAGAGCCCUCUCCCCAUCCCUGGGAUCACCAACUCCUCUCCCCCACCCCUCCUCCCGCCGCCGUCGCCGUCAUGGAGCCCGCCCCUGCCCCCGCCACCGCCACCGCGUCGCCCGAUCCGGCGCCCCGCUCCCCGGCGCCGUCGCCGGCCAAGAGGUCCGCGUGGAAGCAGCCCUCCCCCUCCUCCGCCGCCAACGGCGCCCUACACGCCGACUCGCCGCCGCCGCCGCNNNNNNNNNNNNNNNNNNNNNNNNNNNNNNNNNNNNNNNNNNNNNNNNNNNNNNNNNNNNNNNNNNNNNNNNNNNNNNNNNNNNNNNNNNNNNNNNNNNNNNNNNNNNNNNNNNNNNNNNNNNNNNNNNNNUCGCCGCCGCCGCCGCCCGUCGUCAUGGACGCCGACCACUGGCCGCGCUCGCCGACGCCGCCAAGAUCAAGACCCUGCUCCAGGCCACAUCUGACUCCCCCAAGCCUCCUCGACGCCGCUAAGACCAAGACCCUACUCCCGGCCACCUCCGACUCCCCCAAGCCUCCUCGCGCAUCCGCUGCGGCCGCCGCAGCUUCCACCUACAGAAGACCACCUGCUCCUCGUGCGGCUACCCCGCCGCCCGCAUCCGCAAGUGUAAGUCCAUCCCACCCCCCAAAUCCCGCGGUUACUCUGUGCAUAUGCGAUCCCGUUUCCUCAAGAUAGUUGUUUUAGCUAGAUGUGGUCCUUGGUAUUGGUAUGAACUGUUUGCGAGAGACCGUGGUUGCUGAGGUUGUCGAUUCAGCUGUGGUAGCCCGUUCACUCUUGCCUUGAAUCUCAUGCUAGCUAGCUCUGUGGCUCGAUGUGGUAGUCUUGCAUGCUAUGCUCGGUUGCAACAUGAUAGAGGUUCAGCAACUGGAGCUAUUGAUUAGAGGGAUGACUUGAUUGUUUGUUCACAUGUAUUGUUGAUCACAUAAUUUCAUUGUUCUUUUCUGAGCCGAAUAGCUUAUGCUCUCAGAGUAUCAGGGAAAGAAUAUGUAAUUGUUUCUGUGGUAUUUGGCCUUCAUAAACAGGACAACCACUUUGUUGUCAUAUGUUUGAGGCAUGCCUUGAAGGUGCUCAUACCAAAGAUAUAAGAGCUUCUUUGUUUGGGAUGUUCCACGAUGGUAGGUGAGAGUACCAUCGCUGCUUGUCCCCAGAGAUGGCAGGUGAGAGUACCAUCGCUGCUUGAAGGUGCCCUAAUUGUUUUGCUUGGUGAUGUUCGCUCGGCUGCUUGGUGUUGUUCGCUCCUGCUCCUGCUGUCCUCCAGUCCUUCAAUCCAUCAAUUUUGACAGCACCGUCACCCCUGAGACGUGUUACCAGCUCGAAGUCUGCAUUCGUUUUAGUUCCAGAUGGCGUGAUGCACACCUACAUCUCAAGUGAUUAAGUGAUUCGGUAUAUCUUUUAUGUUAUUCAAUUUUGAUUUCGUUCCAACUUUAAUUGCUUUGGGCUUAUCCAAACUAGUACAAGCUUAAUACUCAGGUUUCGAUUUAAAUUUCACAGGGCUAAAAACAAUGUCAGUGCUUGCUGUUUAAAGCAACAACUCAUGCCUGAUGGGCGGUUGCGGCAUGGAGGGACACCCAAGCUCCAUAAUUCGGUCACAUGGAGUUGGUCCAUUUUUCAUGCUGGCCAGCCACCCAAGCUCCAUCUACUGGGUGCCAUAGCCGGUCUGCUGCCAUCUUCUUAGGUUGGUGAAGUUACAGUUGCUCAUACUACCAGGUCAGAGAGUCGGCUUUUUAUCUAAUAAACCUGGCAUAACGGACAUAGCACUUACCACUUCGUAGAAAUUGCUAACGUCAAUAUUAGAUACAAAUCCCUCACCCCUGUGUGUGAGAUAGCUAAGUUGAACAGAUUUUUGCCAUAAAAGCAGAAUACCAUGAUUGUAGGUGAUAAAAUUAUGUAAUAUAAUUCUACACUGUCUAUAAAGAGGCAACCAGCUUCAUUGGGCUGGUUUUGGUAAUAACUCGAGUUGAUGCUACAAAAUUACCGACAGCCUGUGCGAUGAUUUAAUCUUGCUAUCUGAUGCUCAUGUUUUUAGGGAGUGCGCUCCUCAAGGUUAAUUUAUUCUUUAAAUAUCAUGACAUGGCUUUUAGUAUCGUUCGUAACUGAUAUUAAUUUAAUCUAUUUUUUUGCAUUGUAGAUUGCCUAAUCUUCUGUAUAAUUUUACGAUGGUAUAUAUUUAUACUCAGCUCAUCUAUCAUGUAAGUUACAUGAUAUAAAUUGGACUCUUUUACACAAACAAUAUCCCACGUUAACUGAACAUGUAUACAUUUUUUUGGAUCCUAAUUUAAAGCAUAGUAAUUGUCUUAAUGUGGAAGUUUCACCAUUUAAUUGUCUUAGUGUAGUUAUAUGAUGCAUGAAGUUGUUUUAGCUACAGUUUUAGUUGAGGUAUACCUAUUUUUAUCACGAAAGUCACUCAGGUCACUGUGUAUAUGUGAUCCUGCCUCUUGAAUAAUCAGUGAAACACUAUUGUGAACGGCUCAAGGAGAAAGCUAAUGUAGUUGUUGCCUUGCAGGUAUAGUUAAUGCCAAGUAAGGUGGGUGAGAAAAAUGCCGGUGCAGGACUGAUGGGGUCAUAGUCCUAGGGUAGGGUCAUAGGCCUGCUAUACCAGGUCCAACCCAAGGACUACCCCACACAAAGGACAAGACCCUAGGUCUGCCCCGACUGAAUUAAGGAGUCCCCAUCAUCCAGUCGGUAACAAGUCCUGAAUCAUCCAGUCGGAGACUAGCAUUCGGAGGAUACCAGGCUAACCGACUGGAUACACUCAGUACAUCGUAACCCCUCUGGAGGGAAACUGCCGUGCGUUUCCGGGUGCAUUUAUUAGCAUUUAGAGCAUACGUUACCUGUAACGUACGCAUUCAAUCGCCACUACUCCGCCCCUGAAUCAGAACCGUUGUGGAGGGCAGCGCACUCUAUAUAAGCCACACUCCUCCACUGAUAAAGGGGUUAGUAAAUCAUUGUAUUCCAUAUUACACUCGACAACAAGCUCCAAGAGCACUGAGACGUAGGGCUGUUACCUCCACCGCAGAGGGGCCUGAACUCAUACAACCUCGCCGUAGCUAGGACUCUGCCCAUCCCCUUCGUACCCUACACAUCUACUGUCAGGCUUAUAACCACGACAGUUGGCGCCCACCGUGGGGCAGGCGUCUAAGCGACUUCCGGCGAGUUUGCGACUACUUCCUUUCGUCAUGUCGACCGGUGGAGAUUCGAGCAUGGGUCACCAGAUCUUCUUCGACGCUCUCUCCUUCACCGUCGACGAUUCGGCGUGGCUUCGGGAGGCGCCUCUCGGCGUCAAGGCGCUUCCCCGUCGCGGGGCCACGCACUUCCGUGCCGGCGCCCGCGGCGUUCUUCUUCUCCAACAAUCGGCUCCGUUGUCGACCUGCACCUCCGUCAUGCGCCGCAGCAAGCGGUCCCGCCGUCCGCGUCUCCAACGUUGGGUGCAGCAUGCCCGAGCGCGUCAGAUCGCGUCUUCUCAAGUGGCAGUUCUGGAGUCUGUUGUGGUCGCCCCGUGUUCCCAGCGCUCAGGCUCAGUUCCGACUGAGUUUCCUUCCGAGUACGCGGGUCGCGGGCCUGCAGCAGAAGUACACAUGGCCAACUCCCAUGAAGAUCCCCGUCAAGCUGGCCGGAGCGAGCGCGAGAUCGAUGAAGCAUCCGGUGCACGCCGUCCACCUCGCCGUUCUGCUAGUCGGCACACUCGGCGGAGCAACGUGGAGUUGUUCCGCACGCCUCUCCUCAACUUGGCUGCGGCUGCCAAGAUUGCCGAUUCCCUCCAGCCGACUGAUUCAGAGGCAGGAAGGGGAAUCGAGCAGAUCCGAGCUCUGUUGCACACGGCACAGCAGCAGAAUUCGGCAGUCUCCCAGUCGCACAACCGGAUCUACAAUAGUUCCGUCCAUGCAAACAUGCAUCGGUCGGUUCACAGCCCUGGUUCCCAUCAGCACCACAGGGGAGGCAGUCGCUCCAUGAUCCGCGAAGAUCGCCGCCGCUCACGCAACCCUCCGCGGGGUGGGCCCUAUGGGUCCCGGCAUCAUGAUGGUCGGCGACAUUUACGACCCAAGACCCGACGCAAGAGGGCGAAUCGCCCAGCGAAAGGUCGACAGGGGUCGAGCCCACCGCGAUGGUCACGAUAUGGACCGUCCAGGUGGAAGCAGGACCAUCAUGUCCGGCCCCGAGUGUUUUAGUUGAGCCAUCGGCUCGGCUGACAUCCCGCCCAACUUCCGAUUGGCAGCGGGAAUCGGUAAAUUUACGGGGGAAUCCAAGCCUGAAACAUGGCUAGACGACUACCGAGUGGCAGUCCAGAUCGGAGGAGGAGACGACCAUGUCGCUAUGAAGAACCUUCCUCUGAUGCUCGACGGCUCGGCGCGAGCUUGGCUGAACCAGUUGGCCCCCUCCAGCAUCUACAGUUGGGCAGAUCUGGCCCGAGUGUUCAUCAGGACCUUCGAAGGGACGUGCAAACGCCCUGCAGGCCUUGUGGAGCUUCAAGACUGUGUCCAGAAGCCGAAUGAGCCCUUGCGCGACUUCAUCCAGCGAUGGACAACUCUCUACCACACGGUGGAGAACGUCACCGAGCAUCAAGCAGUCUGCGCGUUCAAGGCAGGCGUACGGUACAGAGAGCUGUACCUAAAGUUCGGUCGAACAGGCGACAUCUCCAUGAGCAAGAUGAUGGAGAUAGCGGCUCGCUAUGCAAAUGGCGAGGAAGAGGACCGCAUCCGGAGCAGCAAGCACAAGACAGUCGGCGAUGCCGACAGAGGUAACACUCGGAAGCAGAAACAGAAGGUUCCGCCCACACCGUAAGCAGAAGCUGCAGCUGUGACCAGUGCCAAGUUCAAGGGCAAAGGGAAGGCGCAGUUUACCCCCAAGAAGAAGCCAUUCAACAAUCCCAUCCUGGACCAUCCUUGUCCGGUUCACACGAAGAUGGACGAAGAAGGCAACCCCAUAUACGCGAAGCACACCACUCGACAGUGUCGUCUCCUGAUCCAAGGGUUCAGCGAGGGACAACCGAGUGAGAAGGAUCCUGAACAAGAUGAGGAGGAUAAGGAGGAUCCGUUCCCCCAAGUCCAUGCAACCCUCAUGAUUUUUUCUGACAUCGAAAGCAAGAGUCGACUGAAGCUGGUGAACAGGGAGGUCAACAUGGGUGUUCCGACCAACCCCAAGUUCCUCAAAUGGUCUCAGACUGCGAUCACCUUUGACCAGUCGGAUCAUCCAACGCAUAUUCCCACCCCAGGAAGACAGGCUCUGGUCGUCGACCCGGUGGUGGAAGGAGUCCGACUGCGCAAAGUCCUCAUGGACGGCGGUAGCGGGCUGAACAUCAUGUACGCCGACACUCUCAAGGGAAUGGGCAUUCCGAUGUCCAGGCUCAGCGAGAGCAGUAUGCAGUUCCACGGAGUCGUCCCUGGACGGAAGGCCAAGUCACUCGGCCAGAUCGCGUUGGACGUCGUUUUUGGCUUCGACAAGAACUUUCGCAAGGAGAAGCUCACAUUUGAGGUGGUGGAUUUCCAGAGCGCUUACCACGCAAUUCUGGGCCGCCCGGCAUAUGUGAGCUUCAUGGCACGUCCAUGCUAUGUAUACUUGAAGUUGAAGAUGUCAGGCCCGAAAGGCGUGAUCACCAUCACGGGCAACCGUCAGCGAGCCGAAGAGUGUCUGCAGCAGGGAUCAAGAAUUGCCGACCAGCAGAUGGUUGUACUCGAGCUCGACAAGUACAAGAAGACAGUCGACCCUCCCGACCUGAUGCGCUCAAAAAAACCUGCUUCUGAGUCCGCGUUCCAGUCGGCGGGGGAGACGAAGAAGGUCAGCAUCCACCCGACGGACGACUCUACCGCCCCAACGAACAUCUCCACCACCCUCGAUCCUAAAUAGGAAGCCGAGCUCACCCAAUUCCUCCGUGAGAACUGGGACAUCUUCGCAUGGAAACCCUCUGACAUGCCAGGUGUGCCCAGGGAGUUGGCUGAGCAUCGACUGCACGUGGAUCCCGUCGCUCGGCCCGUCCGAGAGCGCCUGCGCCGGUCCGCCGCGCACAAGAGGAAGGUGAUCGGAGAAGAAGUGGCCAAGCUGUUGGCCGCCAACUUCAUUCGCGAGGUUCACCACUCCGAGUGGCUCGCAAAUGUUGUCAUGGUGCCCAAGAAGGACAAGUCGCUCUGAAUGUGCAUCGACUUCAAGCAUCUCAAUAAGGUCUGCCCGAAAGACCAUUUUCCGCUCCCCCGCAUAGAUCAAAUUGUCGAUUCGACUGCGGGAUGCGAGCCUUUGUCGUUUCUUGAUGCCUACUCGGGCUAUCAUCAGAUCCGUCUGUAUGGUCCCGAUGAGUUAAAAACAGCCUUCAUCACCCCAUUCGGGUGCUUCUGCUACAUCACUAUGCCUUUCGGUCUAAAGAAUGCAGGAGCUACCUUUAUGCGCAUGAUCCAAAAAUGUCUCCUCGACCAGAUCGGUCGCAAUGUGGAGGCAUAUAUGGAUGAUAUCGUAGUCAAGUCACGCAAAGGUUCUGACCUGCUGACUGACUUGGCAGAAACAUUCGCCAACCUUCGUAGGUACGAUAUCAAGCUCAACCCAGCCAAAUGUUCAUUCGGUGUUCCCAGCGGAAAGUUACUCGGUUUCUUUGUUUCCGAACGAGGGAUCGACGUUAACCCCGAAAAGAUCGGGACCAUCGUCCGAAUGGAGAGGCCGGUCAGAAUACACGAUGUUCAACGGCUCACAGGUUGCCUAGCGGCUUUGAGCAGGUUCAUCAGUCGACUCGGCGAGAAAGCACUUCCUCUGUACCGACUCAUGAAGAAAUCAGAUACCUUCGAGUGGACAGACGAAGCCCAAGUCGCAUUCGACGACCUCAAAGUCCUACUUUCCACCCAGCCGGUUCUUACUGCUCCUCUCAGUAAAGAGCCCCUUCUUCUAUAUAUCGCGGCUAUAAACCAAGUCGUCAGUACUGUUCUUACAGUCGAGCGAGAAGAAGAAGGCAAAGCAUACAAAGUUCAGCGGCCAGUGUACUACGACUCCGAAGUCCUGACCCCUUCCAAGAAGAGGUAUCCCCAUUAUCAAAAACUUAUCUAUGGGAUCUAUAUGACUCCGAAGAAGGUGGCCCAUUAUUUCCAAGACCACUCGGUAUCUGUCGUUUCUGAUGCUCCGUUGUCGGAAAUUCUCCACAAUCGAGACGCGUCAGGCCGAGUGGCGAAGUGGGCAAUGGAGAUGUUGUACUGUGACAUCAAGUUCGAGGCCAAGAAAGCUAUUAAGUCUCAAGCCCUGGCUGACUUUAUAGCAGAAUGGGUAGAACAACAGCAACCGACCCACAUCUACUCGGCUCAUUGGAUAAUGUUCUUCGAUGGGUCUAAGAUGUUGAAUGGCUCCGGCGCUGGUGUGGUGAUCAUAUCACCAAAGGGCGACAAGCUCAAGUACGUGUUGCAGAUACACUUUGAUUCCUCCAACAACAAGGCAGAGUACGAAGCUCUCCUCUACGGAUUGCGCAUGGCCAUCUCACUCGGCGUCCGUCGCUUGAUGGUCUACGGCGAUUCGGAUUUGGUGGUCAAUCAAGUGAUGAAAGAGUGGGACGUAAGGAACCCCACCAUGACAACAUACUGCAAUGCAGUGAGGAAGCUGGAGAAGAAGUUUGAAGGUCUAGAGCUCCAUCAUGUUCCGAGAUUGAAGAACCAAGCGGCUGACGAGUUGGCAAAACUCGGAUCCACUCGGAGACCAGUCCCGAGUUAUGUCUGCCUCGAGCACCUCCAUCUUCCCUCAGUCAAAGAAGAUCCCUUCACAGAAGAACCGGUACAACCCAAGAGCGCAACAGAUCCGACUGAAGUCGAUGUACCUGCUGUGGUUGAUCUGGUCAUGGAGAUUCUGGCUGUCAUUCCCGAUUGGACUGUGCCGAUCAUUGCAUAUAUCCUGAGGCAAGAACUUCCAGAAGACGAAGUCUAAGCCAGGCAAAUAGUUCGCAGGUCGAAGGCAUUCACUGUCAUUGAUGGUCAAUUGUACAAGGAGAGUGUUUCAGGCGUUCUUCAACGAUGCAUUUCCCCGGAGGAAGGGCAGUUGAUCCUAGAGGAUAUUCACUCGGGAACCUGCGGUCAUCACGCUUCUUCGAGAGCAAUCGUCGCCAAGGCAUUCAGAGCCGGUUUCUUUUGGCUGCAGGCAAAUGAGAUGGCUAAAGAUAUGGUCGACCGAUGUGAAGGCUAUCAGUUCUACUGCAACAAGUCCCACAAGCCAACAUCUGCAUUGAAGACAAUCCCUCUUGUGUGGUCAUUUGCAGUGUGGGGAUUAGAUACAGUCGGGCCAUUCAAGACAGGCCAAGGAGGCUACACACAUCUGUUGGUGGCAGUCGACAAGUUUACAAAAUGGAUAGAAGCUAAGCCCAUCAAGAAACUCGACGCCUCAACAGCUGUCAAGUUUGUCAGGGACAUCAUUUCCAGAUUCGGGGUACCUCACAGCAUAAUCACGGACAACGGGACAAACUUCGACUCGGACAGAUUCAAAGGUUUCUGUGCGAGUCAGGGUAUCCGAGUGGAUUUUGCUUCCGUGGCACAUCCUCAAUCCAACGGACAAGCUGAACGGGCGAAUGGGCUUAUUCUUCAAGGUUUGAAGCCCCGACUCCUGCGAGAGGUGGGACACGCUGCUAGCGCAUGGGUCACCGAGUUACCUUCAGUGCUUUGGGGCCUUCACACCACUCCGAACAGAUCAACGGGGCAAUCACCGUUCUUCCUCGUUUAUGGAGCAGAAGCGGUCCUUCCGAGUGACCUGCUUCACAAUGCCCCACGAGUCGAACUCUUCUCCGAAGCUGAAGCAGAACAAGCAAGGCAAGAUGGAGUCGAUCUUCUCGAGGAGGAACGCGAGAUGGCACUCACUCGCUCAACAAUUUACCAGCAAGAUCUGCGACGCUUUCAUGCGCGUCACGUCAGGAGUCGCACAUUCCAAGCAGGCGAUUUAGUGCUCCGAGUGGAUCAGCAAAGACCCCACAAGUUGGCUCCGUCCUGGGAAGGGCCUUUCAUCAUCUCUAAGAUGCUGAACAACGGAGCAUACAAACUCUACAACAUUCAAGGGGAGACAGACGAGCCGCGCGCAUGGAACGGAGACCUCCUCAAGCGAUUUUAUACGUGAUCGUCGACUGAAGCAGUGUAACAAAAAAGUUUCGAUGAAAUAAUAUACAGCAGACUCAGUUUUUUGCAGAUUCAGAGUUUUUUCCACGGUCACAGACUCCGGUCACACACAAAAAAAAAACUUAGUUGCGAUCAUGAAUCGCCUAAGUUCUAACUUCCUCUGAGUGUGCGCUAAACGUCACACUCGGGGACUUAGCUGCGAUCCCGAAUCGCCUAAGUAUUAACUUCCUCCGAGUGUGCACUAAACGUCACACUCGGAGACUUAGCUGCGAUCCUGAAUCGCCUAAGUACUAACUUCCUCCGAGUGUGCACCAAACGUCACACUCGGGGACUUAGCUGCGAUCCUGAAUCGCCUAAGUACUAACUUCUUCCGAGUGUGCACUACACGUCGCACUCGGGGACUUAGUUGCGAUUAUGAAUCGCCUAAGUUCCAACUUCCUCCGAGUAUGCACUAAACGUCACACUCGGGGACUUAGCUGCGAUCCUGAAUCGCCUAAGUACUAACUUCCUCCGAGUGUGCACUAAACGUCACACUCGGGGACUUAGCUGUGAUCAAGAAUCACCUAAGUUCUAACUUCCUCCGAGUGUGCACUAAACGUCGCACUCGGAGGCUUAGCUGUGAUCAAGAAUCACCUAAGUAUUAAUCUUCUCCGAGUAUGCACUAAACGUUGCACUCGAAACAACAUUGAAACACAAGAGUAAACGCUUUCAUUCGGAUUCCAAAAUCCUUGAAAAUAUAGGUAACUCGGUACGGAUCAAGCUUACCCACACCGAUUUAAAAGUAUGACAGCCAACAGAAGUGGCCAAAGUACCUUACAGAUAAACACUCGGCAUACCGAGGAUAAAGUUUUCUUACGUGUCAGCUGGGCCGGCGCCAGGACUGGAGGGUUCCACAAAAGUGUCCAAGUCGAUUCCGUCAGCGAUGCGGGUAGCAGUCUCAAGGAACGUCUCCAUGAAGUCUUCGAAUCGAAGCUUCUUCGUGUUGGCGACCUUCAGUGUCUUCAGCUUCUCUUCUCGCACCUCCUUGCAAUGGACUCGGACCAAGGACAAGGCAACGUCAGCACCGCAACGCGCUGCCGAUUUCUUCCACGAUUGCACCCGGCUCGGAAUCUCCUCCAGUCGCGCCAUCAGGGACUCCAUCUCCUGCCGCGACUCGUCUUCUGGCCAAAGUUCCUUGUCAAUUCGGCCAACGACCUCUCUCAGUCGACCGAUGAAAGGACCCACUUUGCUUACGCGGAUAUGCGCCUGGAGCAGAUCCCGAUUGGCGUCCUCGCCGAGUGGCACGUUGUCCUGAAUGGAUCGCUCCACAGCCGCUGCUUCAGCUUCAGCAGCAACGCAAAAGUCUGCAACAAAAGGGCAAGUAUACAAUAAAAACCGAGUGUAACGCACACUGUACAAGCACUCGGCAAAACAUAAGACUUACCAGCCAGACGAGUCAUCAUCUGCCCAGCCCAGUCGUUGACAUACUUCUCGUGAGCUAUGCAUCGUCUGUUCUGGACAGCCAUCUGAUUCAUGAGAACAGUCCUCUGUUUCCCCAUUCUUUCCACCUCCUCCCUCAACACCUUGUUCGCCUCCCGAGCCUCCUCCAGGGCCUUCUCUCGUCCCUCCAGAGCAUCCUUCAUGCCGGCCAUGGCGAGCAUAGCAGCAUCAAGUUCACCAGCAAACUGGUUCCUCUCUGCUCUCAGAGCCUCAUAGGCAGUCCCCAUUUCACAAGUUUUAUGCCACCAAGAAACAAGGGACAAUCAGCAAGUUCAACAGUUAACAGUCUAAGUUCUUUAGACCCCUGCCGACGCAAGCAGUCGACAGCGGUCUCGGGGACUACACCCAGUGGGUUCACUGAGAGUGACCCCACUGGCAUGCACCUCAAGCAGGCCUGCCCUAUUGAGAUGCAUGUUAUCACCUACGCCUCCGGGGCCAAUACUACCCGACCUGAGUACAACUUACUCUCGGGGACUCUUACCAUAAGUGCACUCCGACUGCAACAAAUACUCGCACUCGGUAAUCCUAUCUACAGACACAACCAAACUCAAGACAAAAUGUAUAAAGACAACUGUCGGUGCAAGCACUCGACAGAAGUCUCGGGGACUACACCCANNNNNNNNNNNNNNNNNNNNNNNNNNNNNNNNNNNNNNNNNNNNNNNNNNNNNNNNNNNNNNNNNNNNNNNNNNNNNNNNNNNNNNNNNNNNNNNNNNNNNNNNNNNNNNNNNNNNNNNNNNNNNNNNNNNUCGGGGACUACACCCACUGGGUUCACUCAGAGUGAACCCAUUGCAAACAACAGCUGCUAUUCAAGAACACCCAGUGGGUUACAGGGGAAAAGUAAAUACUUACUAGACCACUUACUCGGAUAUCAUCGCGCAGCUCCAAGCUCCGCUGGUACAAGGCCGCAACGGAGUCAUAAGCCCUCUUGGCUUCUCCAGCCAUCAGCUCCGCCUGCACCAUAGCCCCCUUGGCCGCUCCCACCUGCUCCUUCGGAAGACGCCGGAUGCUGAAUUCAGCAUNNNNNNNNNNNNNNNNNNNNNNNNNNNNNNNNNNNNNNNNNNNNNNNNNNNNNNNNNNNNNNNNNNNNNNNNNNNNNNNNNNNNNNNNNNNNNNNNNNNNNNNNNNNNNNNNNNNNNNNNNNNNNNNNNNNNAUGCUGAAUUCAGCAUUCGACGAACCUGGGAUCGUCGGAGGUUUCUGGGGCAUCCCAAGGUCCGCCCCAGUCGGCUCCUCCUCCACCAGCACUGGUUCAGUCGGUGGCGACGCCUCAGUCGGCAAGACGUCGGCGGCGGGAGCGGCAGCAGGAGGAGCAGCCUCAAGAACAGGCUCCACGGCGGGGUCGGCUCUCCCCUGGUCGUCCUCGCCCAGGCAAAUCGCCCCUGACAGGCCGAACGACAUGACGUCUCAGAAAAAGAAAGAAACAANNNNNNNNNNNNNNNNNNNNNNNNNNNNNNNNNNNNNNNNNNNNNNNNNNNNNNNNNNNNNNNNNNNNNNNNNNNNNNNNNNNNNNNNNNNNNNNNNNNNNNNNNNNNNNNNNNNNNNNNNNNNNNAAAAAGAAAGAAACAAGCCCUAUGAUAGAAUUGGAGACGUGAUGGGAUAAAACACUCGGCGCUCCUACAACGCACCUGGCUGGGACAAAACGACAUUGUCCGUGUCCAUGGGGUCGUCCCCUUGGCGAGCCGGAGAGGUGGCAGAGGUAGCGACCCUGUCGAGUGAAAUCCAUUCAGCCAGUAAACAGAAGUUCACUCGGAUAACAGAAAGAACCGAAAGCUAGAUACAUUUUACGUGGAGGUGACAGGGAUAGCAACCCUCAUUCGCGGCAGACCCUUCCGAGGCUUAGGCCCACUCGGCUUGGGCGCCCUAGAAGACUGGCCCGCAGGCUCAGCGGCGGCGUCCCUGGCCCACUUGGUGCCUCGAACACUCGGGACCACCGGAGCAGUAGGUGGAGCACUCGACGACGCAGGAGGAGCCGAAGGGACGGCGGGCUCGUGUCGGCGCUUGGUCCGAUGCUCUGGUCGUNNNNNNNNNNNNNNNNNNNNNNNNNNNNNNNNNNNNNNNNNNNNNNNNNNNNNNNNNNNNNNNNNNNNNNNNNNNNNNNNNNNNNNNNNNNNNNNNNNNNNNNNNNNNNNNNNNNNNNNNNNNNNNNNNNNNNNNNNNNNNNNNNNUAGGUGGCGAGUCUUGCUCCUCAUCUUCUUCCUCUUCCUCGCUGUCCUCCUUCUCCGAUUACCCGCUGUCGGAGACGUACUCGACGCUCUCCAUGCUACCCUCCUGGCUGCCUUCCUCCUCUUCCUCCUCCGGAUUCCCAUUCGAGACGGGGGAGAACCAGUUGGUCCACGCCUGCAUAAAGUUCAGUCGAAAACAUUAGACAUCACACGGAGAUAUAAGCAAACGACUGGAAUUAAGACAGUUCGAUGCACUCGACAAGUGCCACUCACCUGAUUCGGUGGAGGAUGAUCCACGCUGUAAGGCCUCACUUGCCGAGCUCCUUUGGGGUUCUCAUAGGGACCCGUGAUUUGGAGCACCCACGAGGUCACGCUCUCCUCAGUCACGCCCACCACGAUGGUCCGAGUGGAGUCUUCGGGCCCCGUGUAAUGCCACAUAGCAUGGUCGCGAGCCUGCAGAGGCUGGAUCCGCCGACCAAGGAAGACUUCCAGUAGGUCUAUACCGGUGACCCCCCUCCGGACGACAUCCACGAGUGCCUCAACCAAGGGCUGGAUGUCGUUCUUCUCGGCCUUCGAGAGCGCGAGCUGCUUGGGCGGGGCGGGCCGAUCUAGACUAAAAGGAAGCGGACCAGUCGACGCAUUCGGACAUGCGAUAUCCUGGCAGUAGAACCACGUCGACUGCUAGUUCCUAACCGACUCGCUUAACUGGAGAGCAGGAUAGCUACUCCGACUCUUCUUCUGGAAUCCUAAACCUCCGCAGAGCUGGAGGAGGUGCGUCUUAUCAUCCGACUGGCUAAGUCGUUUGAUAGUUUGGGAUCGGGCGGAGAAGAUGUGUUUGAACAAACCCCAAUGGGGAGGGCAACCAAUGAAACACUCGCACAAAACAAUAAAGGCAGAAAGAUGGGCGAUGGCAUUCGGAGGAAAGUGGUGAUGUUGGGCCCCGAAGUGAUUCAUGAUGCCCUUAAAGAAAGGGUGCGGGGGCAAAGAAAAACCUCGGUGGACAUGACUAAGGAGCAGGACGCGCUCCCCCUCCCGAGGCGCUGGCUCGACCUCGUCGUCCGCCGGAAGUCUCCAGGACUUAUGCACGAGCAUUCCGUGCUCCACCAGCUCCAGCAGAUCUCCCUCCGUCACCGUGGAGGGAAGGAAGUCUCCUUGGAUUCACCCCACCGGCAGCGGCCGCUACCGCCGCGGAGCAGCCGCCGCGGCCUUGCUCUUCUUCUUCCUCGCCUCCAUCUUGCUGGUCUGACCCUUGGUCAUGGAGGCGACGGCGAACCCUCGAGAGGGAGGAAAAGGAAGGAGUGUUGGGGCGCUGGAGGCGGCAAGGAAGACGGAGCAGGUGAGAGCGAAAGAUUCGGCGAGCGUAACGAAGAAGCCUCACCGCCCAGAUUUAAAUAGAGUUCCGACUGGGUCACUCGCGGGUGGCCCCGAAACCUUAUCCGCCCGACCGGCCGCGGCGAUAUCAGUGGAGGAGUUGAAGGCGCGGAAAUCGAGGCGUCACGCGCUACUCGAGCGCGCUGGCGUCAUCCCCGCUGAGCGCGCGGAACCCGAAAUUUGAGAUCCCGGAAAAUCCGCUGCUGUCAGUUGACCCGUCGCGUCAAAAGAUGCCGCAGAAACACUCGGUUCCCGACAGACUGUUUUGCGAGCACUUCCACUCGGAUCGUUGGUCAGGAAAGAUAAAAUGGAUAGGGGCAAGCAACGCCCAAGCCGAAUCUAGUCCAGUCGGAUCUGAACCUCAAGCACCGCUUCGUCGUUUCAACCCCAAUCCAUUCGGGGACUAAUGAUGGGGUCAUAGUCNUCCCCUUCGUACCCUAUACAUCUACUGUCACGCUUAUACCCACGACAAGGACAAUUGAAGUGGAGGUGUGAUCGCUGCAUUGGGAUCAAUGAUUACUUAAGAGACAAAGGUUUGAUUUAGUUGUAUGUAUCCAGUUGAGUCGGAUUUGUGUUGGCCAAAGUAAAUUUCUGCACGAAUUUGUUAGUAUUUACUUCUACUUAAUCAAUACGUGUACAGAUAACUCUUUUUUUAAGUAGGAUCGAAUAUUAGAAUCAUUUGUUGAUGAGUGCUUAAGUAUAUCUUCCUAGAUUUCUAGAUGGAUUAAUAUCUUUAUCAAUUGCAUGUUGCACCUAUGCAUAUAAUAUCACCAUGUAACUAAAGGAUAUGUCCCCUGUAUCGAUGAUAUUACUACCUAUGUUUCUCUGAAUAACCGUCGUGGACUGAUUAACUGGGUGCAUUAUAUUAUAGGAUUUUAGCAAUAUUUAUCUACCGCCAUUUAAUAUAAAAGUUUGCUCCUUGCAAACAAAAAUAAUAAUAUAAAGUUUGCCAUAUUUACUGUUCAUUAGCAGUUGGAUCAAAAUGAGAGCAUACAGUAUACUCCAUUUUUAAGUACAGAUAGAACAUCAAUGAAUGGCUAUGAAUAUGCAUGUUGUACACUCACAUUUACUGUUCAUUAGCAAUUGGAUCAAAAUGAGUGCAUACACUCAAGAAGUAUCAGGUAUACGAAUAUAUACUACAUGCGUCCACGUAGCUAUACUAUAGUGCAAACAAGUAGCGCCACGCUAUUGAUAUAUAUAUACAUACGUACAACAGUAAUAAUUAUACAUAUUCACACUCACAAUUCACAAGGAUACUAUUUUCCAGUAAUAUGCAACAUUAUAUUUUUUGUUUCAUACAAUAAUACAUAUUAUUUUGCAACAUGUAUACUAGAAUCUAUAUACUCUAGUCCGAAGUAUACAAAGUAUAUGCAGCAGCUGUCAUGCUAGCAUGUCUUGACUUGUUUGGAAUGCAAGAAAGUAGCAGUUUGUUGAAACUAACCCACACCGUACCAUUUUCUACUGUUGUAUUAGCAAAGCAGCAAAGUAUAUGCAGCAACAAUUUUCUAUUGUUUUAUCAUUGGUUAUCAUGCGUGCAAUUUUACUAGUUUCCUUGGUCUGAAAGCCUUGCCAUCAUUUUCUUUUUGCAGGCGGCAAUGGCAAGAGCAUAUUGUGCAGAGGAAGAGGAUGAACCUUAAUGCGUUGAACCUUGUAUACUAGAACCUUGCAGGUGUUUUUGCAAAAGUAUUUUGUUAUGCACAUGUAAAAUUAUUUUGAUGUGCCCUUGUUAGGCGUUGAACCUUAAUGCGUGGAGUCGGUUGAUGAUUUAUUGUAUUUGAUGUGAUAUGCUACUGAAAUAAAAUAAUGUUUUAUUCUGUUGUACUUAUUUUUAAUGGGUCUAUCCUGAGAUAUGCGUGCUUCUAGCAAAAAAUGCUUCAACCUAAACAAAUCAGACAUUUUUAAUAGUAAAAUAGGUAUUGAGCCAGGCCCAUGUAGCUAGAUUGGUGGACAGGGAUCUGAAAUUUAUGAUGACUCCAUUUGGUCAAUAGAAAUGGCACGUCAGCUUGGCCACGUCAGAUCCUACGUGGCUCACACAAAUGGGUAAUGACCAAACCAAAAUUUUGAUCAAUAGAGACCUGGAACCAAAAUUUUAGAAAUGUCAUGUUUGUUCAUUCUUGACGGCCAACUGUUGACGUUGUAAAUUUGGUCAAAAAAAGGUCAAUAAACGACAAUAAUGACGAAUCAGUGAUCAAUAUAGGGAGUCAUCAUUGACCUUAUUUCUUGUAGUAUAUGUUUGUGUUAUGUCAAACAUUCUUAAGUUUGGCAACGUUUACAGCAAACCCUAACACUCAUAAUACCGUACCAAUAUCAUUUGAUCAAUCAUGCAAUGUAUUUUCAUAUUGUAUUUAUCUAGUGGUGUAGAUGUUGCUACAUAUUUUCAAAUAAAAUUAUGCUAAUGUUCAAAUUUUAUAAUGUCUGACUUAAGACUAAUACACGGGAAUACCAGAUAAAAUUAUUUUGUAUUAGAUAAGAAGUGUGUGUGUAUACAUCAAGGUUUAAAGUUAAAAAAAUGCCAUAUAUGUAAUUCAUGAAAUUCAUAAAUAUUUGAGUUUUAGAAAAAUCGUAUUAAUAAUACUGUUUGGACUAAGACAAAUAGGAGCGGAUAUAUACUUGAAUUGUCAAUAUGCAUUCCAUGAUUGUGGAAAGUUCAGAACGGAAAGUGAAAUGUUUGAAUGGAAUACUCAAACUGUUCAAUACAUGUAUUUCAAAUGCAUAGCAAUAUAGCAUUAAAAACGAAAACAUAUGUUGUUAUUCAGGGAAACAUGGGGAUGUUUAAUACACACAUGCCUAUAUAUUGAAAAUAAUAAAAUAAAAUGAAGAAUUGGUGGACGCUAACGCAUGUGCAACAUGUAGGGAGACCGUGGAGGCGCAUACAUGACGAUGUCACGACCAUGCAUGUGCCAUUGGUUAUACUUAUGCACUGUUGUGUAGCAUGGCAAAUAUCGCACAGAGUUCGUCAUAGCAUGAUGUGUGCCGAAAUUCAUAGUAGUGCACACAUUUUUACCACACAAUAAUGUCCAUUGCCAUGAGUUAUUGCAUAGAACUUGUUUGGUAGAUCCAUGUUCAAUUGACAUUCAUAAAUAGUAAAAUUAAUUCUCCCCUCACUCUACCUCCACUGCAAUCUUGUUCCCCCUUCUCCUUUGUCCCCGCAUCCAAAUCCUCCCCCCCCUUCCAUCUCUGAUGUUCGCCCAAUUAUCAAGGGCCUCCUAUAGUCAAAUGGCAGCCGCAUGCGCGGAUGUGGCUGAAUGGGACGUAGAUGACCAGGUAGCAUGCACAUAUGGUGUUGUCGUUAUGCCACAUGCAAGAAUGAGGUCGCGCCUGUGGCGGCACACAUGCAUGGAAGAGGUCACUCCAUNNNNNNNNNNNNNNNNNNNNNNNNNNNNNNNNNNNNNNNNNNNNNNNNNNNNNNNNNNNNNNNNNNNNNNNNNNNNNNNNNNNNNNNNNNNNNNNNNNNNNNNNNNNNNNNNNNNNNNNNNNNNNNNNNNNNNNNGAAGAGGUCACUCCAUGUGCGGUGGCACACACUACAAGAAAUAUGCUCAUAUGUGAUGUUUUUUAAAAUGUCGUUGAUGAAUUCGUCAUAAAUCUAUGAUGAUUUCAUCCGAGAUCGUUGUAAACCGUUUGAGGGGAUCAAAUCUACAUAUAAAUUACGACGAUGUGAGUCAAAACGUCGUAACCGCAUAAGAUGAGAUCGUCAUAACUUUUACGACGAUUGUAAAAAUGUCGUAACAUGUUCUAACUAUGUUGACAUGUCACUCGUGGGUCAAUUAUAUCCCACCUCAUCCUAGUUUGUGAAGCAACCUACUAUUCUAUCAUUCCAAAAUUCUCAAAAAAUUCUCAUAAAUACUUUGGAUCAUAUAUUUCUUAAAUAUGUGAAAACCCUUCCUUCCAUAGUUCAAAAAUAAUUCAGCAAUAUUCAUUUUCCUAUUCUGUUCAGAAUAGCACUUCGUGAAAGAAGUGCUAUUUCUAUUUCUUUGAUUACCCUCAUAUUUUUUGGGCANNNNNNNNNNNNNNNNNNNNNNNNNNNNNNNNNNNNNNNNNNNNNNNNNNNNNNNNNNNNNNNNNNNNNNNNNNNNNNNNNNNNNNNNNNNNNNNNNNNNNNNNNNNNNNNNNNNNNNNNNNNNNNNNNNNNNNNNNNNNNNNNNNNNNNNNNNNNNUCCUAUCAAAAUCAUUGCCUCAUGAAAACUUUUGUAACGAUUUGCCUAGUAAAUCUUUCUCAGCAAAUAUCCAAAGUUUGUAUUCAGCUAAUAGCUUUGUGAAGGAAGUACUAGAUAGGAAUAUCCUGAUGAGUUGAAUUUUUUCCACAUCAUCAAUGUGCCCAAAACAUAGCUCUCCAUAAAAUUGUAGCCACAUCUCACAAUCCAUGUGAGCUUAUGAUCCAAUCUUUGUUUCUGGUAAUAUUUUCAUUUUGUGAAGCAACUACAUUUUAUAUUGCUUUAUAGUUAAUGAAAAUUUACCAUGGGAUGACACUGACCAUAUAACCUUACUCCACCAAAUUUUAGCACAUUUAAUUCAGCCAGUUUCUCUCAAUAUUUUUCCCAAUAUUCUGUUCAGUAGAGAGCAUUGUGAAGGAAGUANNNNNNNNNNNNNNNNNNNNNNNNNNNNNNNNNNNNNNNNNNNNNNNNNNNNNNNNNNNNNNNNNNNNNNNNNNNNNNNNNNNNNNNNNNNNNNNNNNNNNNNNNNNNNNNNNNNNNNNNNNNNNNNNNNNNNNNNNNNNNNNNNNNNNNNNNNNNNNNNNNNNNNNNNNNNNNNNNNNNNNNNNNNNNNNNNNNNNNNNNNNNNNNNCCAAAUUUCAGCUCAAUCCAAUCAUCUAUGUGAGCCCAGUUUCAAUUACCAUUUUCUGUCCAGAUUGGCACAUUGUGAAGGAAGUAUCACUUUGGAAUGUCCAAAUGGUAUAAUUUUUAUACAGUGCCUUCAUAUGCCCAAAUUAACAUCAUACACCAAAUUUCAGCUCAAUCCAUUCAUUAAUUUGAUCCCAGCUUCAACAUUCAUAUUUCUGCACAGUGUGUUACUUUACAAAGCAAGUGCCACCUAGGUUCAUCCAUUUGAGCUAAAAAUUUGCCAAUAGAGUGUCCUUAGUAGAUGAUCAUCCUCAGCCAAAAUUUAGGCCCAUUGUCCAUGUGAAUUACCCGCACCACUAAUCAAACACUUGGGUGCUAAUUCAUGUUUGAGCUUAGUUUAGUCUCCUCGUGAGAUUCUUCUAUUGUAUUCUUCUUGCUAACACCUACCGAGGGAUUUUCCAACCCACCAGACAUGCAUAUUCCACCUAGAACGCGUGGCAAUGCAACGGUCAGGCGGUGACCAUGCGGCUGGCAUGCAAGUUCAUGCACUCUGGAGUUGGGCCCUCGACCACCAUCCAAACCUCAACGUCAAGGCACCACACCAUGUAUUUCUGAUUAAAUAAAUACUUAUAUACCUAUAAAUGAUUUUUGGGAAAAAUAAAGAGCAAACUAUAAUGCAGUUGCAGUUCAAAUUUAACCCGCUUCCAACUAAAUCGACAUAAAUUUGUCUUUUUCACGAGAGGUGGAUAAAAGUUUUUAACAUCCAACCAUUUUGUCAAUUGUACAUUAAAUAUGGACUAGUAUUUUAUAAAAAUGAUUUGGUCCAAUUUUGAAACAAAUAUAUGGUACGUCCUUCAUAAAAAAACUCAUUUUGGUCACUUGAAAAAUGAAAAAUGAAUUUUUCAUAGAACGAAAAUGAAAACUUCCUUAAUCAGCAUUAUUUGCCAUUCCAAUAUGCACUCUUGUGCAUAAUAUUAUAUCAUUUCAACAAAAUAUAUCAUUAAUGUGACCAUAAGAUUGAUCAUUUGCUUGAAAGCAUGAAUCUUUACACAUGAUAGCCCAUUUCUAAGAACACUUAUUUAAAAUAAUUGUCGUAUUACUAGUUUAUUAUUUUUACUGGUAACUUUGUCACAUAUAAUGACACAAUGCAAUGGUUUUCCAUUUUUUUAAUUUGUUUCGAAUUUUUCAUGGCCAUUUUAAAACGCGGUCAAAACAGCGGGUAUGACCAUUCCUACCUAGUGAUUGAAUCUUGGAAAUAUUUUGGUGCUUCUAUGAUUAAAUAGAUACUUGUGUACCUAGAAAUUAUUUUUAGAAAAAAUAAACAUGAAACUAUAAUGUAGUUGCAGUUCAAAUUUGACCCGCUUUCAGCUGAUUCAACGAAAAUUUCUCUUUUUCACGAGAGGUCGAUAAAAGUCUUUAACACCCAACCAUUUGAUCAAUUGUCCAUUAAAUAUGUCCUAGUAUGUUAGAAAAAUGAUUUGGUCUAAUUUUGCUACAAAUAUACGGUAGGUCCUUCACAAAAAAAACUCAUUUUGGGCACUUGGAAAAUGGAAAAUGAAUUUUUCAUACAAGGAAAAUGAAAACUUCCUUAAGGAACAUUGUGCAUAAUAUUAGAUCAUUUGAACAAACUAUGCCAUGAAUGUGGCCAUAAGAUUGAUCAUUUGGCUUGAAAGCCAUGAAUCUUCACACACGAUAGCCCAUUCAUGAGAACACUUUUUUUAAAUAAUUGCCAUAUUACAACUUUAUUAUUUUUCCCUCACAUAUAAUGACACAAUGCGAAGAUUUUUCAACUUUUCAAUUUUUUUUAGAAUUUUUCAUGCGUCUUUCAAAAUGCGGUCCAAACGGUGGGUAUGACCGUUCGUAGCUAGGGCUUGAUUCUUGCAAAUAUUUUGGUGUUUCUUUGAUUAAAUAGAUAAUUAUGUACCUAGAACUGAUUUUUGGGAAAAUUAAAGAGCAAUAUAUCAAAGAGUUGUAGUUCAAAUUUGACCUGCUUCCAGCUGAAUCUCCCCAACUACUCCGGUUGCGUCCCCUCCACCAUCCUCCACAGAAGAAAGGGGAACGAGCGACCACAGGCGGAGGCGGCGGAGGAGGAUGGGGUUCAUGCUGCAGGUGAGGCUGGCCUCCUUCUUCGCUGGCGCGGCCGCCGCGGCCGCCGCCCGCGGCUACUUCCUCUACAAGGACUACAAGCUCGCCCACGACUCCACCGCCCUCCAGGUACGGACCGCGCCCUCCUCCUCCCCUCCCCUCCGCGUCUCAGAUCUCGGACCGUGUACCACUCCAUGGAUCCUGUCAUGAACUGUCCAUGGAUUUCAGAAAAAUGAUAGUGGGCAGUAAUCAACAAAAUUUAACGAGGACCAUCAUUGAUGAGGAUGGAAGAAAAGAUAAGUGGCAACAUGAUGGGCCACCGUGUUAAGUACAAAAAUAGAGGAUGCUCAUAUGUUGGGGUAUUGAGCCAUACUUAUUUGGCUAUAACAUAAAAUUUUUGUCUCCCGUUACAACGCACGGGCAUAUUUGCUAUAAAACCAAAGUUGUUUAAUAAUGAAAUAAAAACAGAAACAAAUAAUAAAAAGAGAGAAAGAAACCCCCCUUAGCUCAAACUGGGCCGGCCCCAGUCAGCCCACCUAACCGGGGGUAUUUAACCCCCAUCUAACCCUAAAUCCUCCCACAGCCUCACCCCACGCCGCCACCCCAUCCACUAGGGGAAAUCUCUCUCUCCCACGCUCUCUCCCCUCAGGCACUGCGCGCCGCCCAUGCUUCACCCCCCUCUCGCAGCCCUCCGCCUCCGCCUCCUCCUCUUGCCGCUCGCCUCCUCCCCGCGCCACGGAGUCCUCCUCCAUCGUCGCCGCUUCCCCGCGGCACGCAGAAGGUGGCGCGGUGGAGGGGGAGUACGAGGAGGUGCUGGUCCGGCUCUCCUCGCUAAUCAUGUAGAAGGUGCGAGCGCACACCGGCAACCGCGGCAACCAGUGGGACCUCAUGCACCGCUACCUCCAGGUCCCUCCCCUCCGCCCUCCUCCUCCUCCUCGUGUGCAUCACGCGGAUUUGCUUGUCUGAUCCGGAUGGAUUUCGUUCUUCAGAUCCUCGAGCUGGAGGAGCCCAUCGCGCGGAUGAAGGUCAUCCAUGUCGCCAGCACCAAAGGGAAGGUAAACCACCUGAUGAUAUGCAGCUCCCUCCAAGGUCGAAUUAGAGUGUCAGCCUGUCAGGCUCUGUAAUAGUAUGUGUGAUUUCCUUUCAUUUCCACCAUGAUGCAGAAACUUCAUCAGUGAUAGUUGGGGCAUUCUAAAACAGCAUCAGAUGGCCACUGUUACAAUUGUUAUUUCAGGUAACAACAUCAGAAGGCAUGUUGCCCAAACUGAACAUGUAAGGCUCUAUAUAGGCCUAUCAUCAAUGUUCAACAGUGAUUAAGAAUGCAUAACGAGGGGACUUCCAAGAGUAAACAGAGUCCAGCAAAUCUGCAAGGUUCUCUGUAGUUUGAAACAGCAAAAACAAAACAUAUGCCUCUCAAAUAUAUUUUUAUUCAAUUUUAAAAUGUUUCUUCAGUCGUAGCAAUAGAAUAGAUCCAUUGUCACAUGCAUGCCCCCAAACUCUGUGUGCCUCACAGAAGCCGAUCCACGGAACUCAACAUGUAUGAACAGGGUUGGUUGGAGCAUAUACAUGGUUGUAACAAAAGGUACGGGAAUAGAAAGUAUAGUUCUGCAUUUACCUCGUGUGAUGAUGCCACAAAAUUAGACCUUCUGCAUCCCCUAAAACUGGGCAAAGAAGUCCUGCAAGGUUCAUAACAAUAUUUAGAAACAAGAAGUUUUUUUUUUGCUUAGUUAUCAUAGAUUUCCAUUCACUUGGUCUCUAGAUAUCCAGAAAUCUGUUUUGAAACAUGUUGCUUGAAUGGUCAACUCCAUUGUUGGCUAUCUUUUAGACUUCCUACACUUCUUGCAUUAUCUUCUUCAGAGAAAAUUGAGGCGUCUGUUCCUUGUUUGUGGUUCCUAGGCAUCUACAUCAUCAACCUGGGCAAUACAUGGGAGAAGCUCCAGCUCGCGGCGAGGGCUUGCUGGAUCAUCCGCGCCGCUGCUGCCCUUCGGCGCCGCGGCGUGCUGAAUCGUGGCGGCCUCGUCGGGUUGCUUCGCGGUAGAUUAAUGCAAAAAAAUCUAAUCAACAAUAUAUUGUAUUGUAGAUGUCCAACUAUGUGCAGUAUUCAUGACAAAUUUAUAUAAGAGGGAAUAAUACCAUACAAUUCACGUGUUUUGGAUUUAAUGUAUCUUGAAGACUAGUAUUAUUCCAGGAGAACACUCGUGAACCAUUGUACUAGUUGGAGUCCCAUAGUUGUCAGUAUAAAAAGAUGUUUUAAAGUUUCAAACUUUUAAAAUCUUGGGGUGCUUGGGGAUGAUUUAGUAGUAGAUACUUGUGUAAAAACAAGAUGGAUCUAGCGCCGUAUGUGCAGAUGCAGAGGUCCUAUAUUUUAUUUUUCCAUUUUUAUAUGAUUACUUGUGUGAAUUUGUUCAUCUGCAUGUCUUAGAGGUUUUAUCGUGCAGUAGUAAUCGAUCAAAGUCCACGCGUUUGCUGCUACUAUUAAAUGUUAAUCACCUGCUGAUGUAAUCAAUAUACAGGAGUGCCAGCUCAAUGGAGCUGGACACCGGCGCGAUGGAGCUGGCCACCGGCUUCUGUCUGCCGCGACGGGUGCUGCCUCCUCGGCUUUGCGUGGGGCCUCCUGCACUGCGCUUAUGUGAUACUCCCUGUCAUCAUCUUUGUGCCUGGGUUCCUCCCCUGCAAUCUGUGAUCUUACCCACUACAGGGUUAGUAGAUUGGUCGGCGGUUCAUUUGUUUGCUGUCAAAAUUCGUUUGAUGCCAGUGGUUAUCUGUUUACUUAUUUUUGGGUACAUGUGCACUAGAUAGGUUGUGUUUCUUGGUACUCUAGAACUUGAAGUUAUGUCGUGUUAGCGAAUGUAUUUUUGUGGUCGUGUCCUCAAUCUACAAAGAAAUAAAUCUUUAUCAUUUUCUGUCCAUGUGUCCCAUGCAUCCACUCUUCCUCGUCUGUCAAUGUGAAUUUCGUUUGUGCUUGGAUUCAGAUUGUUUUGAAUAAAUUAUUUGGUCUGGUAUUUGUUUUGAGUGCAUUAAAAUUGACUUGAUAUUGAAUUCAGAUUGUUUAACAUAUUAUUUGGCCUGGUAAUUAGAUUCAGAUCUCAUGUAUAUGUUUUCAGUAAUGCUACUGAUCCAAGGGAUGGCUGAAAGAGCAAUCACUCCUCUUAUGCAUGUGAAUUUUUACCUAUGCCAUGGUUAGUAAUGUUCCUCAUGGGUUCUGGUGUAAUCUAUUGUCAUUUUGUCUUACUCUUGUAUGCUAGUUAUUCUAGUGCUUAAAUGGCAGGUGUGGCAAACUAUGCUUCAUAUAACAUUUUCACAUAAUUAAUGUGCUUGCACUGAUUCACAAUUCAGGAAUAGUUUUCUUGGAAGUUGGUCUUGUAGCAUUUCUACUUCAAGGAAAUGAAGCCAGUUGUUAUGAUAUCUUUGGUGCUCAACUUAUUUGUUAUCUCUGAAGCUGUAGCCAGUGCUGAUGUACUGCCAAUGUAUGUAAUUCCUCAGUCUUUAUGUUGUAGCCAUAUUAAUCAUGAUUUUGUGAUAUACUUGCAUUUUUCAGUUUUUGUAGAAUUCAGAAAGUUGACAAUGUUAUUUUUGCAUUUUUCAGUGAGGAGGAGGUUUGGUCCGUGUUCAAGACGAAUGAUGAAGCCGUGACGUACAAAGUUUUAGGAAGGACUCCAACAUCAGGCAGGUUUCUGUCGUAAGCAUUUCGGUUCCAUUCGCUCCCGCCCUUCUCUCUUUGUUCUCGUUCUAACUCGUGUUGCGAUUACAAUUUUAAAUAGCGGAUAGCGGGCUCGCUAUGGAUUUGGGUCGGUAUAGCGGAUUGCAGAUUGCGUACACUAUUGCGGGCGCUAUGUCCUCACAAUAUACUUAUAAACAUGUGUAAGAUAUUAAGCGUGUUUUGUAUAUUUUUAUAGAGUUGUCAAUAAAAAUCGGUUUUUUAACUUUGCAAUUUAUUUGUAUAAGCUCUUUGUGACAGUCUUCCUAAGUUACAUGCACAUAAGAUCUUUGCAUAGUUAAAGCUGAUGGCUACUGUCUACUAAAAACACUUAUGAAACAAUUGUGUCCGUGUGUAUCCAGCCCCAUACCUCAAUAUUUUAAUCAAAGAACUUCUCUGUCCGGAAGCACCAUGUUAAAUUAAUCAACUUGUAGUGAGAUAAGAAUUUUCGUGUAGCAACUGUCUUGGUUCUACCUACAAAAAAAAUUGUUUUGGUUCUGCACUUUCCAUCAUGUACCAAAGUAGCAGCACUUCAGGCUAGCAGCAGAACCAAGGGGAGAGAGAGGUGGAUCAUACAAGAGCUAGACGGUACUGCAUGCGUGGCACACAUGCUUGUGGUGGUGUUUAGGGUUCUGUUUGUAGACUUGUUAGGAUUUGUACAGUCUAUGUUCAUCGAUUCAAACUGUUGCUCGAAUAUUAGUUUCGAUAUCCGCCUUGCCAUUUUGCAUGAGUUCAACUAUUCCUAUUCUGUUAAUUCUUAUCCUGAGAUCCGUUGCCUUGCACCACACUAAUGUUUCAUCCUUGCACCACACUAAUAUUUGAAUGAAUUAUGAAUUGCAGGAGAAGGCUUCCUACUUUACCAAUGCUGAAAAGCUCAAGGUCGGGUACACUUCGCGCACAUGGAUUAGAAGAGCAACAACAGGGGAGGGGGUUUGGGGGUCUGAAGUCUUGGAACGGUAGUGUAAUUCAUUGAUGAUGGAUGGUUGUUGUUGUUGGUAGAAAUGGUAGAAAGACUUUUAAGCGGCAGUUGUUGCUGGUAGAAAUGGUAGCUCUAGUCCCAUGUAGGACGUGCUUGGGCUGCCCUAUGUUGCUUCAUUUUUAUGUUGAUUAAGUUUGUCAAAUGUACCUACUGUCGUGUCGUGGCUUGUUUGAAUUCCCUCUUUGUUUCACAUUGUUGCUGGAACAAAUAGAAAUGAAACCAAGUUCUGAAACAAAAGUUGCUAAAUUCAAAAAUGAAAAAAGGCCAAAACUGAAACUGGAUCAAAUGUAUUUGGGCACUAAAAGGCCAGGGCCCAAAUUAUAAUGAUACAUAAAAAUUCGAAAAAUAUAUUAUAAGUGGCUGUAAAUAGGCUAAGGCCCAAAAAGAAGCCCAACAAGAAAAGGCCCAAAAAAUAAAACCAGCCGAUGUGAUCAAUUGAAAUGGGUUGGGCUGAUUUCAACCAUGACGUUUUGAUUUCAUCGUAAUUUUGCCACGUAGGACUGCCACGUAGGACUAGGUUUGAUUGUCAACGACGAAUUAGGAUCGUCGUAAAGGUUACGACAGUCCAGGAAUCGUCAUAAAAGUUACGACGAUUUUAAUCAAAACGUCGCUGUUGUUCAUUUCUGGCGCUCCAUUUUCGACGCUUGGUUUUUCAUCGUGAGAUCGUCGUAAAUUUAAAACCGUGACGAUGUAGCGACGAAAAAAUAGCAUCGUGUAUUAACAUAUUCCUUGUAGUGACACACAGAUGAGGUCCUUCAUGACUGACAUUGUUUGAUCGCAAAGGCCACCAACCUCGAGAAAACACCCAAAAUGUUGAUCGUCGACUUCUAGUAUUUCAGCAAGUGUUGCUCGAUGAGGAGGAUGAAGAGGUCUGUAUCCACACUUUAGGGUCCAUAUUUUAUGUAAUUAUGCAACAAGAUAUCCAAUAUGAUUUUGAGGGACAUAUGUAAUGGGUGUUUAGUUUGAUCGAGUAAAGAUGUGUGUAGUGAUAUUUGAAGUAUAUAUGUUGUUCUUCUGCAAAAGAAGCAACUUACAUCGAACAUGUUCUAAAUGAAAAAACCAUGUGAGAUGAUUCUCGAUAUUUCACAUAGUUCAUUUUUUUAGUUGUGUGCCAGUAAAGCACACAAUCGUAUGCACUUAGUUAACUUUGACCUUUGACUAAGUUAUACCAUGCAUGUACUAUUGACUUACGUUGCAUGCUGAUCUGGAUAUGAUACCUCCUCAUUUGACUUUUAGCCACGGGCCCACUUUUUUUUGCCGACACUUCCUUUUCGUUGAACCCAGACCAUGCUACGUUCGUAUCAAUCCGGCACACACAUUCAGACUAGGCAAUAGCGUUCCAAUCCAUUUUGUAUAUCCGAUUUUGUAAAUGAUGAAAUCGUCUCAACAAUGUCAUAAAUCAUUGAAAAAAUUAUUGUGUUGCUUCUUUGCAAUUACUUCCUUUGUCCCUAGUGUCAAAAGCUCUCUUAUAUUGGCCCUGUUUGGAUACUCUAACUCGGUUAAAGGUUAGAGUUAGAUUUUAAUCUUGAACUAAUCCUAAACUAACUCUAACCAAAGAAGUGUUUGGGUGGAAGGGUUAGAUUGUCAACAAAUGCAUCUUUUCCAAUCAUUUGGCUCCUUUAUCAAGGAUUUGGUGUGGUGGAGGUAGAGAGAAAAGUAAUUUUUGGUGGGCCCAACCCAACUCUAACCCAAAUAAGCACCUCUUGGGUGGGUUAGUUUUUUUAGGUGGGUUAGAUGCAUCUAACCAACUCUAACCCUCUCUAUUUAGGGUUAGAUUGGUCCAAUCUAACCAACUCUAACUCUAACUCAUGCAUCCAAACAGGACCAUUAUGGGAUGGAGGCGGUAGGUAGUACUCUGUUCGUUUCGUUUUACUUCACAUAUUAGGUUUAAUUGAGUCAUAUUUUCUUAAUUUUGACAAAGUUCACAUAAAAUAUUAACACUCAUAAUACCAAAUGAAUACCAUUAGAUCAACCAUGAAAUAUAUUUUCAUGUUAUAUGAAUAUUUUCUUGAUCAAUCAAAAUAUUUGUCAAUAGUUUAUAUCCACGAGUCUACCUCUUAUCUCUCAAACUCAGGUAAUUAAUUUUGCAGGCUUAACUAUUGUAGCAUUUCUGAAGUGUCCUUGUUGUACUGGAGCUCUUUGCCUAGACCGAAUAUUCGCAAGAGUGGACGUGCUCCCUUGCUCAUGGAAUGCUCAGCCAGACGACAGACUAUUUUAUUGUUCGUAUACACAGUAGACCAAAUGUAAUGUGCGUCAGUGCUUGCGUAUUGCAGGACGUCAUGACCCAUGCACGCUCACACCGUUUUGACAGACUAAACGGAUCGCGUCAUAUACCACGACGCGUCAGCAACUACCAAACACAAAUUUCAGUUCAAUCCACGGGGCUUGUGAUUAUUCUCUCAAACACGUAUGACUAAUACUCCCUUCCUUCCUAAAUAUAAUUCACUCAUUUUAUUCUGUAUGUAGUUCAUAUUUAAAAUUCUAAAAAGACUUAUAUUUGGAAAUGUAGUGAGUACAACGUUACAGAGUGACCAAAUUCAAUUCACACACAUGAAAUGUUCACAUGAAAACUUGUCAUUUGAUUUACUCAUUAGUGAAGAACGUGACUUUAGUCUUGGUUGGCAAUGGCCUUUAAUCCCGGAUCACCAACCGGAACUAAAAGGUGGAAACUAAAGGCCUUCACCCUUUAAUCCCGGUUAGCCACAACACGGGAGUAAAGUCCCUCCAUGUGGCCGCGAGCAUACGGUGGAGGCUGAAGGACAUUUAGUCCUAGUUGGUGACACCAACCGGGACUAGUAUUUUUUUAUUGGAGUAUAGGAUUUUAGGGUUUAGAUUCUAUAAUUUAUUUUUCCUUUUUAUUUGGUGUUUUUCAUUUCAAUUUUUUUACGCUACUGCAUAAUGUACACGUCGAUGCAUAUAUAAUAUAAUUUCUCGUACGAUCAUACAUACAUACACACACAGAUAUAGGGUCGCACUAUUCGUCACCCUGAUGAGGAAUAGUUAUUCUUCACACACCCCCCCCUCUCCUCUAUUUUGAUAUCAACGCACCGUAUUUUUAUGUUCCAUGAAUUUUAUCUUAAUUUACACAUAGAAACAUAUUGUAACAAAAUAUAUGAUCACCGUAAAAAUAUUUUAUGCUACAUAAAGUUACGAACAUAAAAUCAUAGUACAAGAUGUACAUAAAAAGCAUUUUUUCUGGUGUCGUGACCUAUAAUUUUGUUUCUUAUGUUAAAUUUUACGCCGUGAAUCAAUAUGAAUGUAACUAUUUAUAUAUAAAAUAUAAAAUGAAACAAUCAUAAAAUUACCUGGAUGAAGAAUAACUUAUUUUGCACCCUGGAUGAUGAAUGGUAUUACCUCGCGUGAUACUACUUUUUCUUGUGUCCAGUUCACCAGUUACUCCUGCUACCGCUUUAACAUGCGGUGCAACUCCUCGUUCUUUAUUUCUAUCCUCUGAAUCCAGUCUACAUCCUGCUUUUUUUCUAUGACGGCUUUUAUAAGUGUUGUUCCACUCCAAAAAUCCAUGAACCCACGGAACAACGCAUGUGCCUCGUGUUCGUCCUUCGUGUUCAAGAUUCUUGAAGGUGCGUGUAAGCUCCUCGUUCUCUCUCUCGGACUUGAACAAACCCUUUCGAGCAUUUUCUACUUCUUUAAUUAAAGGGUCCGAGGCUGAUUUAAGAAUGUAAGCUUCGUCAUAUUGUUGAAACUUGCCUUGCUUUUGUUGACGUUUCGCGUUUUAGGGUUAGGGUUUAUAUUUUAUUUUUCCUUUUGAUUUUGUGUUUUCCAUUCAAUUUUUUCAUUUUAAACAUAUUUUAAGCUACUACAUACUAUACACGUUGAUGCAUAAUAUAAUAUCUCGUAUGACCAUACAUACAUUUAUAUACAAUUUGGUAUAUAUGCAAUUUCUCCUAUACAAUUUGGAGAUCAUUACAUGUGAUGGUAUUCUCCGCCUCUAGGUCUGACCUCAUUAAGAAAAAAUCCCGCAAUUUUCUCUUGAAUUGCUCGUAUGUGAUUCUCUGGUAGGAACUUCUUCCGCAGUUCAUCAAUCUUUAAACAAAGGAGAUCAAUAUAAAUAUAUUAGUUGUAUAUAUAUUGGAUCAUCAUAAAAAGUAUGAAUAGCAAUGAUUUUUAUGAUGAAAAUAUGAAAAGCUGGCGCAUUGCGAAUACUAUUCAUAUUUUUUUAUGAUGAUAAUAUGAAAAGCCUGACGUUGUUGUUCAUUAAAGCGCCGGCUUUUGAUCGCAAUGCGAAUGUUCAUUAAAGCGCCAACUUUUGAUCGCAAUGCGAAUGUUCUCGCAAAUGUAGUAUGCGCAUAAAUUAGUACCCUAUUCCUCCCUCACGCACUUUACGAGAAUAGAAUUUAAUAAGAUAAUAAUCAAGCAAGAUAAUGAUAUUGAAACUGGAAUUAUAGAGAUGCGCGGACCUAGCUAGUAGUACUUAAUUAAUUACCUUGAUCACUUUCCAGCGCAUCUUCGGUUCUCAUUCACCCCUAACCUCAUUAAUAAAUUGUUUCCAAACCUUGCCCGGGAAAGAAUAUGAAUAAAGAAGUUAUUAAUUACUUGAUAUAUCAGGAAAUGAACAAAAGAGGCCGAUAUAGCUAGUGCGAUAAUGAUUGAAAUUACCUAUCGAGCAUUUUAAUUACGCUCAUGUAAUCUUCAGGAUUUUUAUUUAGUGAGUCUUCGACUUCAAUAAUUUCAGCAUCAACUCUAAUGUUUAGUAGGAACCAGUGGAAUCUGCAGAUGUUUAAUUAUAUAAAUAGGCAUGCAUAACUCAUCAACUACACUUAACAUCGAGUAAGCAAAAUAAAAUUUGUUGUACAAGACAGUAACACUCACUUCAAGUUGUAAGGACAUAAUAUUUUUGUUUUGGUAUUUUGUUCCUUUAAGAACCUUAGAAAGUUACUCUCUAAGUCUCUGGGAAACACUUCUAUCAAUUUUCAAUAAAGGGUAUAUGAAUCAAUAAACCCAGUGGCAUAGAUUCACUCUCUUUUGCAUUCGAGAAUCUUCAUUCUGCAUAAUAGCGUAGAAAAGAAUAUAGUAAGGAUAAUUACAGGCAAUGAACGAGUUGAGCUAGACUUAAAAUUAAAGAAAGAAAUCACUUACAGACAAUAAGAAAUGAUGAUAGAUUUAUCGAGUACAUCCUGAUUGUAUAACUGUAAUAAUUUCUCAAACUCAAUGAAUAGAUCGUUUUCAUAGAAGUAAUGUUCUUUCUUGACUUUCACCAUGAGAUGCAAUCGCCCGCUGCCAACUGCUUCCAUGUACCACUCAUGCAACUGCUUCUGUGUACCCAUGCAAUCCAGUGUCACGAUACACCCGAGGUACGCAUCCAUGCACACUAGAAUCUUGUCGUCAUGGUGUGCAACGGCACAAUGGAUGCUACUGCUCGCAAAGUGUUUUAGCUCUGUUUAAAAAAACGUCCAAGAAGUAUCACCGACACGUAGGCUGGCUGCCAAGAAAACAGGCUUUUUGGGCUGUCGUUAUAAAGAAAAACGGUGUCGUCCCCAUAGAUGAUACUGUGGGGAUUUUUCAUCCGCCGCUUGAACCAACGGUCAUCCUGCUCCAAGAACUGGGACAGGGGAUGACGGCUCCGGUAAGAACACUGAAUAGGCUCGUACUAUCAGCGAAGAGCUAGCCAUGCGGUUGUGCCAUCCGUGCUAUUCACCCAGUUCAUGUCGCUAUGGCACUUGAACGAUGGGCCAGGCAGGACUGCGUCCUCAAAUAUCCCUAAAUCAAUGGCAGUUGCCAGAGCGCGUGAUGCAAAGGGUGAGGAGAGGUACGCCCUCGUCGUGGUCGUGAGUGUGAGCAACAUGUCGCGCCAUGGCGUGCAAACAACAUGGAGGCGAGUGAAAUGUUGACGAGCAGGUCUGGCAAGAGGUUGGACCAGCACGAUGGCGUGGGGUUUGUGGCGUGCAAACAACAUGGACGCGAGUGAAGUGUCGUCGAGAAGGUCUGGCGAGAGGUUGGCCCAAGUCAGGGCCGUCUCCAGGGUUUUGGGGGCACGGUACGAAAUGUUAAAUGCGGCUUUGUUUUUUUUUCAAAAAUCCUAUUACUAGAGAACAUAUGUAAUCAAAUCAUUCUUUUAUUUUACUUAUAACUUCUAAUUUGUGUUAUUCCAUUCAAAUGUGGGUACAAAUUCAUACAAUAUUUAGAGAUAGAUUAAACAUGAGUGAUAAAACAGGAAAGGUAGCCCUAUUUAUAAACUGGCCUCAGGUGUAAAAAAAAUGAUGUACGAGCACCCAUCCUCGUAAAUCAAUUCUACCAAUUCAUGUGAAGUCAGAACCUUCAGCUGUAGAGCACAAAGUAAUUUACGAAUGAUUAAUCUGUCUAAGGUAUAACAAAUAAUGGUACAGUAUAUUAAUUAUUAGUUGUGCUACCAGUGUAUCGCACAUUGUUGAAAAUAGCUAGACAAUCUACAAAGCCUCGCCAGAACAUAAAACAGCCUAGAAAUUGACAGCACAUAAUACUGUCACGUACUCACAUGGAGAAAACAAAUUCAGCCAAAGAAGUUUAGUAUGAUGCAUGGAUUAAGAGCUCUUUUAUGGUACCCUGGGUGAAAUAUGAGCCGUCAAUGCGUAAUUAAAGAACGGUAACGAUUGAGUUGUACUGCCCAGCUCGAGGAUCCGAAUCGUGGACAGUAGACCAUGCACCGCGCUAGUGGAGUCCUCCAGUAUAAACGUGCUAAGGGUAUUUUGGGAAGAAAAAAUCACAGUCGUGUGGGAAGGAAAAAAAAACAGCCCGCCCGCAACGGCCAGUCGAACUAGCCCAUCGCAUCUCACCCCAUCCGGCCCUCCCAGUUCGUUCCCCACCAAGGUCAGUACGGUUCCGGCCGCCGCCGGCGUGCGUCGCCCUCCCUCCCCUUCGCCUCGUCGCCGCCGGCACCUCCCACUCCUGCUCCGGCUCCUCCUCAUCGUCUCGGCGCUGCGGGGACCGGCGUCGACCGCGGGCGCCACGGAUUCGUGCGCUCACUAGGGUUCCAGCCACCGCCGGCGUGCGUCGCCCUCCCUCCCCUUCGCCUCGUCGCCGCCAGCACCUCCCACUCCUUCUCCCGCUCCUCCUCCUCGUCGCCGUGCUGCGGGGAGCAGCGCCGACCGCGGGCGCUGCGGACUCGUGCGCUCACUAGGGUUCCGGCUACCGCCGGAAGCGUUGCCCUCCCUCCGCCGCACAGAGAGAGCCUGCUCCCGCUC
rnacentral:lncRNA from 1 species